AAAUCCCAUGAAGAAGAGCUGUGGCGGCCAUAGCAGUAGAAGUAGAGCCAGGACAGGACAGCGGCAUGGCUGACCAUCAGGAGGCACAGUUACAAAACGCUGCCAGGCGGGUGGUAGCCUUGUUAAGGAGUGCCCUGGAUAAUGAAGCUGAACCAUCUUCACAAAACCUCUCCCAGGCCUAUUCAAAUGUGGAAAAGACUUCAGGAUGGACCAGGGAGACAGAUGCAAACAGCGGACGAGCUUGAGAGAGAUUGAAAAACAGGAGAGGACUGUCAUUUGCCUACUGGACAGGCCCAUCACCUCAACAGGGAGAUGGAUUUAUGCUUCAAAUUGAAUUUGACCAUCAUUGUGGAGCGCACUAUGGUAGCAACAUCACAUGUGCAUCAUUCGUGUUUUCAAGAUUAGAAUACUCCGGUGCUCAAAGUGAGAA